CCCCUCUCAGGGUCACACCUGGAGAGUUUCCAGUACUCUGCUAGUUUCAGCUAUGAGAGGGAGAGUCAAGCAGAGGCCUACCCUUUCCAUUCCUAGCUUGGCCAGUGGCUAGAGAGUGGAAGGCAAUCUGCUACAAGU